GAAACAAGAUGGCGGGCUCGUGGUGAGAAGCCGUCAAGGAGUAGAAAUUGGUAUUUUUAGAAGCAGAUUCUAAAAGCAGUUUCUCUUCGAAACAUCUUUUUUCAUACCACUUGAUAAGCAUCUUGAAACACCAUGGCUGUAACUGCAGUAAAAUGGGUGAUGUCAAAGAGAACUAUCUUGAAACAUUUAUUUCCAGUCCAAACAACGUAGAGCUUGCUCUGACUUCUGAUGGCAGGACAAUAGUAUGCUACCACCCUUCUGUGGACAUUCCAUAUGAACACACAAAACCUAUCCCUCGGCCAGAUCCUGUGCAUAAUAAUGAAGAAACACAUGAUCAAGUGCUGAAAACCAGAUUGGAAGAAAAAGUUGAACACCUUGAGGAAGGACCUAUGAUAGAACAACUUAGCAAAAUGUUCUUUACUACUAAACACCGUUGGUAUCCUCAUGGACGGUAUCACAGAUGUCGUAAGAAUCUGAAUCCCCCAAAAGACAGAUGAUGCGGAGGUUCCUGGGGGAAUCAAAGAGAAAUGUGCCUCAUUUGCCAUUUGAGAAAAUGCAGUCUGGUGU
rnacentral:sRNA from 1 species